rnacentral:lncRNA from 1 species
CUCCAGUGUUUGUGGACUUUCUUUGUAGGUGACUGGAGUUCCGACUCAUCACCUGCCAACUCCAGUGUGACACUUGAUUCGAGCUGUCCGAUCUAGCUACUUUACAACAUCAUCUAGUCAGAGAGAUACGCAACAAAUUGACGCUAGAGGAAAGGCUCAUCCUAUUUUCUUGAAGAAGAUGGUGUGAAUAAGAUCUUAUCAACAAUCUUCUUUGCACAGCGCAUCUGAUGCACGAGAUGUUGGAGAGCA